CCCUGCCUUUUGUACACACCGCCCGUCGCUCCUACCAAUUGGUAUAAACGGUGAAAAGUUCGGAGACAACUUUCGUGCGGGGUAAAAGCCGCUGAGAGACAUCGAAGUUCUUUAAAUCUUUUGUACUA
rnacentral:rRNA from 1 species